AUUGAACUCUGGCGGCAGGCCUAACACAUGCACGUCGAACGAGUGGCGGACGGGUGAGUAAUGUCUGGGAAACUGCCCGAUGGAGGGGGAUAACUACUGGAAACGGUAGCUAAUACCGCAUACCAUCGGAUGUGCCCAGAUGGGAUUAGCUAGUAGGUGGGGUAACGGCUCACCUAGGCGACGAUCCCUAGCUGGUAUGAGAGGAGGACCAGACACACUGGAACGGAGACACGGUCCAGACUCCUACGGGAGGCAGCAGUGGGGAAUAUUGCACAAUGGGCGCAAGCUGGAUGCAGCCAUGCCGAGUGUAUGAAGAAGACCUUCGGGUUGUAAAGUACUUUCAGCGAGGAGGCGUUCCUCGCAGAAGAAGCACCGGCUAACUCCGUGCCAGCAGCCGCGGUAAUAC
rnacentral:rRNA from 1 species